rfam:Canis lupus familiaris chromosome 8, whole genome shotgun sequence.
ACCUGGCUGGCUCAGUGGGAAGAGCAUGGGGCUCUUAAUCUUGGGGUUGUGAGUUUGAGCCCCAUGUUGGGUG